AGCCCGCUCCGCUCCCGACCCGAGCAUGCACGAUGCCCGUAUCUGCGGCCAUCCCCCAUUCCUCCCCCUUUAUCAUUCUUAUCAGUGCUCAAUGUGAUCGUUUUAAAUUAAGUGUCGUUAGUUGUUAAUCUCGUUGCCUUAUUUAUGUGUGUAGUUAAUUAUGGCUUGUGCGAAUAAAUCGGAUUACGACCGGAUUUGUCGAUUGUGCACCUCGAGUUUGGGGCAGGGGCCUUAUCACAUUUUCGACGAUGAUUUCUCCGAUCAACUCCUGCGGAAGAUUGAGGAUUGUUUGCCGAUCAAGGUAACUGAAGAAGAUGAUUUACCAAAAUCUGUUUGUGGUGAAUGUUACUUGAAAUUAGAUGACUUUUACAACUUCCGUGAAUCUUGUCGAAAAACUGCCAAAUUAUUUGCCAAAACAGAGGUUCCGGCAUUGUUACUUAAGGUACCAGAGGUGCUAGAAAAACGUUUCGGAACAAAUCUGCCAAUGAAAGGAAUAUCCAGGGGAGUGUAG
rnacentral:lncRNA from 1 species